GUGGGGAAUAUUGGACAAUGGGCGCAAGCCUGAUCCAGCAAUGCCGCGUGGGUGAAGAAGGUCUUCGGAUCGUAAAGCCCUUUCGACAGGGACGAUGAUGACGGUACCUGUAGAAGAAGCCCCGGCUAACUUCGUGCCAGCAGCCGCGGUAAUACGAAGGGGGCUAGCGUUACUCGGAAUUACUGGGCGUAAAGGGCGCGUAGGCGGCUCUGUUAGUCAGGCGUGAAAUUCCUGGGCUUAACCUGGGGACUGCGCUUGAUACUGCAGGGCUUGAGGCCGAGAGAGGGUGGUAGAAUUCCGAGUGUAGAGGUGAAAUUCGUAGAUAUAGGGAAGAACACCGGUGGCGAAGGCGACCGCCUGGCUCGGUUCUGACGCUGAGGCGCGACAGCGUGUGGAGCAAACAGGAUUAGAUACCCUAGUAGUCC
rnacentral:rRNA from 1 species